rnacentral:rRNA from 1 species
UACGUAGAGUGCAAGCGUUAAUCGGAAUUACUGGGCGUAAAGCGCACGUAGUCGGCUUUGCAAGUCGGGUGUGAAAUCCCCGGGCUCAACCUGGGAACUGCAUUUGUGACUGCAUAGCUAGAGUGCGGCAGAGGGAGAUGGAAUUCCGCGUGUAGCAGUGAAAUGCGUAGAUAUGCGGAGGAACACCGAUGGCGAAGGCAAUCUCCUGGGCCUGCACUGACGCUCAUGCACGAAAGCGUGGGGAGCAAACAGG